AUGGGCUGUAGCCCGCCAGACUCCUCCGUCCAUGGGAUUCUCCGGGCAGGAAUACUGGAGUGGGUGGCCAUCCCCUCCUCCAGGGGAUCUUCCCCACCCAGGGAUCGAACCAGAAUCUCACGUCUCCUGUGUUGGCAGGCAGAUUCUUUACCACUACGCCACCUGGGAAGCCCUUGCACUUUGAACCCUUUUUUUCAAAUUGUCUUUUUAGUUAAUUUAUUUUUUUUAGCUGCAGCGUGUACCAUGGGGGAUCUUGGGACACCGAUCGGGGAUCCCCUGCAGUCCCCUGCGUUGGGAGGACAGGGUCUUAACCACUCUAAUCAAGUGACCCAAGCUGCUGGCCAGGUCAGCGUGCCGAUGCUGACCAUCACUCUGGAGAGAGUCCUGUAUUGUUGGGUUUUUUUUUCCCCCCCAUCUCCCUGGGGAAACAUCACUGGUGUCCACAUCAAGAGUCCCACGAAGGCUGGUUUUUCUCUCCCCGCAGACCUGCAUCAUCUGGGCAGCCCCACGAGUCUCCUGGCGACGGCUUUCCUCCUCUCUGUGGUGCUCGACUCCGCGUGGCUCCUCACCCAGGAGCAGCAGGAUCUCCCAGCCGUGAAGCCAGACGCCAGUCUAAAUGUGAAGUUUGACCCACAGACGACGAAGCUGACUUGGGACUGCAAGGAAAACACCACCUAUGGGGAGUGUGCACUGAUUCACAAGGAGAAGGGACUGAUUAAGAAAAAGGUCAAACACAGUGAUUGCCAGUGCACAUUUCCAGACUGCUCUCUGCACGGGGGAGUCACGCUCACCGUUGAAGUGAGUGUCAACCAGAGACGGCUUUCAGAGAUGCUGGUCUACACUAACCCAGGUAAGGAGGGCACAGCUGCCGAAAACUUCUCCUGUGUUAUCUACGACGCGGAUUUCAUGAACUGCAGCUGGGCCAAGGGCCGAGCGGCUCCCGACGACGUCCAGUAUUUUUUGUACGUGCGAUCAAAGAAAAGAAUCGAGAGGGAAUGUCCUCGUUACCUGAAAGACUCGGGGACGCACGUGGGAUGUCACCUCCGAGACCUCUCGGGGUUAACGUCGUACAGUUACUUCCUGGUUAACGGUACCAGCCAAGAAGCAGGAAUCCAGUUCUUUGACUCAGUUUUGCUGCUAAAGGAAAUAGAGCAGUACAACCCACCUGACAAUAUCAGCGUCCAGUGCAAUGCGUCCCACUGCCUCAUCCAGUGGGAAAAGCCCAGGACGCGACAGGCACGGUCCAACAGGGAGCUCCAGUACCAGCUGGACAUCGAGAGAUGGCGUGACACCAGCAGCAGCAGAAGUCAGCUGAUUGUAGUAUUUGGUGACUCCGGGAACAGAUACAACUUUCCGAAGCCGGGAUCCAAAGCAAAACAUACUGUGAAGAUAAGGACGGCGGACGCCCGGAAAGCCCGCUGGGGUGCCUGGAGCCCGCCCGUUGAGUUCGGUUCCUCAAGACCCACAGGUUAUUCCCUCCGGUUCCACAGAUCAAAGAUAAAUUGAAUGAUAACCAACAAGUCGACCACGAGAUGCUAUGGGAGAAGUUUACACACGAAGCGGGAAAAGGUGACAAGGAAGAGGUCUUAACCGUGGAGACAGUCUCAGAAGCCCCAGCGAAACUGUGAAUUCCAGGCAUCUCCAUACCCGGGACUUUCUAGAAGCUGUUUACUUUUUUAAAAAUAUUUUUAAACAUUUCUUAAGUAUUUUAUUUACUGUUUUCGAUUGAAGCUUUUUUAAAUUGUUGUGUUUUUAUAGC
rnacentral:lncRNA from 1 species